rnacentral:rRNA from 1 species
UACGUAGGGUGCAAGCGUUGUCCGGAAUUAUUGGGCGUAAAGAGCUCGUAGGCGGUUCGUCGCGUCGGCUGUGAAAACCCGGAGCUCAACUCCGGGCCUGCAGUCGAUACGGGCGGACUGGAGUGUUGCAGGGGAGACUGGAAUUCCUGGUGUAGCGGUGAAAUGCGCAGAUAUCAGGAGGAACACCGGUGGCGAAGGCGGGUCUCUGGGCAACUACUGACGCUGAGGAGCGAAAGUGUGGGGAGCGAACAGG